rnacentral:rRNA from 1 species
ACAGGCGGUGCAUGGUUGUCGUCAGCUCGUGUCGUGAGAUGUUGGGUUAAGUCCCGCAACGAGCGCAACCCCUACGUUUAGUUGCUAACAGGUGAAGCUGAGCACUCUAGACGAACUGCCGUUGACAAACGGAGGAAGGUGGGAUGACGUCAAAUCAUCAUGCCCCUUAUGACCUGGGCUACACACGUGCUACAAUGGUUGGUACAACGAGUUGCGAGUCGGUGACGGCGAGCUAAUCUCUUAAAGCCAAUCUCAGUUCGGAUUGUAGGCUGCAACUCGCCUACAUGAAGUCGGAAUCGCUAGUAAUCGCGGAUCAGCACGCCGCGGUGAAUACGUUCCCGGGCCUU